rnacentral:tRNA from 1 species
GGGCCGGUAGAUCAGUUUGGAACGUAGUACACAGAAUGAUCACCGUCUUGGCAUGGCGGAAGUCCGGGGUUCAAAUCCCCGCCGGUCCACCA